rnacentral:lncRNA from 1 species
AAGCGAAUUGGGUAGCAGCAGCCACUCCUAGGGAAUGGCUAAAAGUUAAGCGAAUCUGUCUGGAACGAAGGAGAACAGUGUCUUUGAUGCUCAGGUGCAGCUGACCAUGUAGCUGUAAAACAGGCUGCGUCCCUCGUGCACUCACAGGGAGACAGGAUGGAUUUGGACCGUGGGAGGCAAUCUCUGGGACUUCUGUUCCUAAGUGAACCUGCAGAUGACUCUCCACGGCCUAGGAGAGCUCCCUUGAGCCCUUUCUAGCCUCUCUAUCCACAGAGUGAAUGUGGACAGAAACGGAGAGGUCCCAUCCUCAGUGUGACCUUGACAUGACCUUCUGGACCUGCCUAUUGAGACCCAGCAGCUGUGGCAAGCAUUUACUACCAACAAGAGGCAGUUCCAAGAGAAGAAUAUAAAACACGCUCUGCUCAACCCCACGAAACUCGGAGUGUCUCACAAUGGCCAAUUUAUUAUUUUUACCCUGUCCAGUGACACGGAAGGAUGCAUCAGGGAGCUGCUAGCCUCUGCGAUGAAUAACUUAAGUCAGGCUGCAACAUGUGAAGUAAUUCAGCUGACCAGGAUUUAUAACGCUAGCUGGAGUUUUCUGCUUUCUUUGGGGUUCAUGAAGCAUGGUGUUGCAAGAGACCACAGGAGUCCUGUGAUGAGGUGUUGUCCCAGAUGGUCUCACCUACCCGAUGCCCCAUGGACUAUGCUGGGCUGGAAUUUCUUCUGCAUGUUAUUUAUGUGUACUUGACCAAACUAGAGAGGCAGGAAUGCAGGUACGAUGUCCAGGUCGGCCCACCCCUUUCCUGCAGGCAGGCUGGAAGGAUUGGAACAGGAUGGCAUGGAGUAAACAUAUCUCAGCAGCUACCUGGAGCAGGUAGACUUUCACGACACUGAGAAGAGUCUAGAUCUUCGCUCUCCCGGUGGGCUAUGGGACACUCACUCAUCUCAAACCUUGGACGCUGUAUUUACAGAGUCCAAGGAUGGAAAUGACCUUAGAAGAUGGCUGGAAUUCCCAUUUUUCAAAGGGGCAAUAAUUUGUGUGUCCUUUUUGUGUGUUGGCACUUCAGAGCAAUGUUAAAAGAAGAAAAAACAAAAACAUAAAACCACUCCCACACGAUUGUGUAGUCAUUCUGAUCCCUAUUUUAACCAGGGAAUUUAAUGAGAGUUCCCCAAUCUGUGGAGAAAGGAGAAAAUGCCCACAGGGUGAGGAUUUGGCCGAUGCCUGUAGGUCUCUGUUGACAAAGCAGCCUUUGAAUCUGUGGUACCUCUGAAUGGAGUCCUACCAUCUUUCAAGGUUAUUGCCUGACUACAGGUUAAAUAUCUUAAUAUUCACUGAUUGGGGGAAAGCACUACGAGCAAAUUGAAUGCAAGGUCCAGGAACACCCAGGUCUUUGGUGACUAUAUAAAAUGUAAAUGCAUUCUUUAUUAUCUCAAGUCACUGCACGCCCAAGUGGCUCUUCUGUAAGAAAAACAUAGCUUGCUGAUAAUGAGCAUGAAAAUUACUAAGGAAUGGGCAGAGUAAAUCUCUCAAAUCUUUUCUGUCUCCGCCCUCCCCCCACCCCCAUUUCGGAACCAUGAUGUGACUUUGCUAAUUUGAGUAUGUGUCCCUGUCUAGAUUUUACAAAUAAACUUAAAGUUUAUCAAAGGAC